rnacentral:rRNA from 1 species
UACGUAGGGUGCAAGCGUUGUCCGGAAUUAUUGGGCGUAAAGAGCUCGUAGGCGGUUUGUCGCGUCUGCUGUGAAAACUGGGGGCUCAACCCCCAGCCUGCAGUGGGUACGGGCAGACUAGAGUGCGGUAGGGGAGACUGGAAUUCCUGGUGUAGCGGUGGAAUGCGCAGAUAUCAGGAGGAACACCGAUGGCGAAGGCAGGUCUCUGGGCCGCAACUGACGCUGAGGAGCGAAAGCAUGGGGAGCGAACGGG